UUCCGGUUGAUCCCGCCGGACCUGACUGCUAUCGGAUUGGUACUAAGCCAUGCGAGUCAUUGUAGCAAUACAAGGCGGACGGCUCAGUAACACGUAGUCAACCUAACUCGUGGACGUGGAUAACCUCGGGACACUGAGAAUAAACCACGAUAGAUCAUAGUGCCUGGAAUGGCUUAUGGUCCAAACAGUUUACUGCCAUGGGAUGGGACUGCGGCCUAUCAGCUUGUUGGUGAGGUAAUGGCCCACCAAGGCGAUUACAGGUACGGGCUCUGAGAGGAGAAGCCCGGAGAUGGGUACUGAGACACGGACCCAGGCCCUAUGGGGCGCAGCAGGCGAGAAACCUUAGCAAUGUGCGAAAGCNCGACUGGGUCAGUCCGAGUGAUUCCUGAUNAAGGAGUCUUUUGCUUGUCCUAUA
rnacentral:rRNA from 1 species